rnacentral:rRNA from 1 species
GAUGAACGCUAGCUACAGGCUUAACACAUGCAAGUCGAGGGGAAACGAUAGAGAAAGCUUGCUUUUUCUAGGCGUCGACCGGCGCACGGGUGAGUAACGCGUAUCCAACCUGCCCAUCACUUGGGGAUAACCUUGCGAAAGUAAGACUAAUACCCAAUGACGUCUCUAGAAGACAUCUGAAAGAGAUUAAAGAUUUAUCGGUGAUGGAUGGGGAUGCGUCUGAUUAGCUUGUUGGCGGGGUAACGGCCCACCAAGGCGACGAUCAGUAGGGGUUCUGAGAGGAAGGUCCCCCACAUUGGAACUGAGACACGGUCCAAACUCCUACGGGAGGCAGCAGUGAGGAAUAUUGGUCAAUGGACGAGAGUCUGAACCAGCCAAGUAGCGUGAAGGAUGAAGGUCCUACGGAUUGUAAACUUCUUUUAUAAGGGAAUAAAACCUCCCACGUGUGGGAUUUUGAUGUACCGUAUGAAUAAGCAUCGGCUAACUCCGUG